rnacentral:rRNA from 1 species
GAUUAUGGCUCAGGAUGAACGCUAGCGACAGGCUUAACACAUGCAAGUCGAGGGGCAGCAUAAAAGUAGCAAUACUUGGUGGCGACCGGCGCACGGGUGAGUAACGCGUAUGCAACCUACCUAUCAGAGGGGAAUAACCCGGCGAAAGUCGGACUAAUACCGCAUAAAACAGGGGCACCGCAUGGUGAUAUUUGUUAAAGAAAUUCGCUGAUAGAUGGGCAUGCGUUCCAUUAGGUAGUUGGUGAGGUAACGGCUCACCAAGCCGACGAUGGAUAGGGAACUGAGAGGUUGGUCCCCCACACUGGUACUGAGACACGGACCAGACUCCUACGGGAGGCAGCAGUGAGGAAUAUUGGUCAAUGGGCGGGAGCCUGAACCAGCCAAGUCGCCGUGAAGGAAGAAGGAUCUAUGGUUCGUAAACUUCUUUUGCAGGGGAAUAAAGUGCAGGACGUGUCCUGUUUUGUAUGUACCCUGAGAAUAAGGAUCGGCUAACUCCGUGCCAGCCGCCGC